CUGGAAGGCUAGGCACUCCCCGUGCUUCGAGUUCGCCUUGAGGAAGAGGCUAAGUGCCAGGGUGCUGGCCGCGACGGCCUUCGC
rnacentral:SRP_RNA from 15 species